rnacentral:rRNA from 1 species
GGGGAAUAUUGCGCAAUGGGGGAAACCCUGACGCAGCAACGCCGCGUGCGGGAUGAAGGCCUUCGGGUUGUAAAUCGCUUUCAGCAGGGACGAAGGGUUACCUUGACGGUACCUGCAGAAGAAGCACCGGCUAACUACGUCGCAGCAGCCGCGGUGAUACGUAGGGUGCGAGCGUUGUCCGGAAUUAUUGGGCGUAAAGAGCUUGUAGGCGGUUUGUUGCGUCGGAAGUGAAAACUCAGGGCUUAACCCUGAGCCUGCUUUCGAUACGGGCAGACUUGAGGGAUGUAGGGGAGAACGGAAUUCCUGGUGGAGCGGUGGAAUGCGCAGAUAUCAUGAGGAACACCAGUGGCGAAGGCGGUUCUCUGGCCAUUUCCUGACGCUGAGAAGCGAAAGCGUGGGGAGCAAACA